UUGUAACCAAGUGAUCCCAGGCUGAAAACUAACACAUUCUGCUCAAAUAAAGCCUAGGCCAAACUGCACAAAUCAGAUUGACCCAGUCGACAGGAUCUGAACUUCCAGUGACCGCCCCAGGAACAGAAAGCAACUGUGUGCUCCCUUAACACCUGCAAUAGCUGGACAAAGGAAGAAAGUCGUGCUGCCCUUGGUGGAAGUUUGGACCCAUCCCCAGAGAACUGUAUAAGCUUCCUGCUUCCAAAUAAUAUGUGUAAUCCUAUGGGGUCUGACUGGCAGACUUACUUUUUUUUCUGAUUCAAAAUGCCAUUCCUGUAUAUUAUUAAAAUUUGGA